GUGAGGAUCAACAUGAAGCAUCUUAGAGAGGAGGUCCUAGAGACACGAACAAACACACAACAACAGACUGGUCAACAAGCAGCAUGCUAGAUAACAGGUCCUAGAGACACGAACAAACACACAACAACAGACUGGUCAACAAGCAGCAUGCUAGAUAACAGGUCCUAGAGACACGAACAAACACACAACAACAGACUGGUCAACAAGCAGCAUGCUAGAUAACAGGUCCUAGAGACACGAACAAACACACAACAACAGACUGGUCAACAAGCAGCAUGCUAGAUAACAGGUCCUAGAGACACAACAACAGACUGGUCAACAAGCAGCAUGCUAGAUAACAGGUCCUAGAGACACAACAACAGAUUGGUCAACAAGCAGCAUGCUAGAUAACAGGUCCUAGAGACACAACAACAGACUGGUCAACAGGCAGCAUGCUAGAUAACAGGUCCUAGAGACACAACAACAGACUGGUCAACAAGCAGCAUGCUAGAUAACAGGUCCUAGAGACACAACAACAGACUGGUCAACAAGCAGCAUGCUAGAUAACAGGUCCUAGAGACACAACAACAGACUGGUCAACAAGCAGCAUGCUAGAUAACAGGUCCUAGAGACACAACAACAGACUGGUCAACAAGCAGCAUGCUAGAUAACAGGUCCUAGAGACA